rnacentral:rRNA from 1 species
UGGGGAAUAUUGGACAAUGGGCGAAAGCCUGAUCCAGCCAUGCCGCGUGAGUGAUGAAGGCCCUAGGGUUGUAAAGCUCUUUCAACGGUGAAGAUAAUGACGGUAACCGUAGAAGAAGCCCCGGCUAACUUCGUGCCAGCAGCCGCGGUAAUACGAAGGGGGCUAGCGUUGUUCGGAAUUACUGGGCGUAAAGCGCACGUAGGCGGAUUGUUAAGUGAGGGGUGAAAUCCCAGGGCUCAACCCUGGAACUGCCUCUCAUACUGGCAAUCUCGAGUUCGAGAGAGGUGAGUGGAAUUCCGAGUGUAGAGGUGAAAUUCGUAGAUAUUCGGAGGAACACCAGUGGCGAAGGCGGCUCACUGGCUCGAUACUGACGCUGAGGUGCGAAAGCGUGGGGGGCAAACAGGAUUAGAUACCCUGGUAGUCCACGCUGUAAACGAUGGAAGCCAGCUGUUGGCAAGUUUACUUGUCGGUGGCGCAGCUAACGCAUU